rnacentral:rRNA from 1 species
UACGAAGGGGGCUAGCGUUGCUCGGAAUUACUGGGCGUAAAGGGCGCGUAGGCGGACAGUUAAGUCAGAGGUGAAAGCCCAGGGCUCAACCCUGGAAUUGCCUUUGAUACUGGCUGUCUUGAGUAUGGGAGAGGUGAGUGGAACUCCGAGUGUAGAGGUGAAAUUCGUAGAUAUUCGGAAGAACACCAGUGGCGAAGGCGACUCACUGGCCCAUUACUGACGCUGAGGCGCGAAAGCGUGGGGAGCAAACAGGG